rnacentral:lncRNA from 1 species
CUCUGGGUGUCAUUGCAUGUGAAAUGAGUCUCUUGAAAACAGUAUACCAGUGGGUCUUGCUUCUUUUUCCAAGUUGCCACUCUGUGCCUUUUAAUUGGGGCAUUCGUCCAUUUUCAUUCAAGACAGAUGUAAAUAAUUCGGGAGGACCAACCUCUAUCUUUUCUGACCUAUGGCCGGUCAAGAAGCGGGUAGGUUGUUUCCUAAUACACUAUAGGUCAUUGAGAAAGAUGAAGAGAAUGAUGGGCUUUUGUAAUUGGGGAGUGUCCUGCUGGUCUCUGGUCCACGCUGUCUAGUGGUCCAAGUGAGCCUCACCGGUUCAAUAGGAAAUGGGUGCUAUCAUUCAGUACAUGGCAUUGUAUUAUCUUCCCUAGUCUGACUCCACAGCGAGCUCCACUGCAUGCUGGGCACUCUUUACUCAGCAGUUAGUGAAGCAACUUAAGGCAUUACAGAAGAUGGAGCAGAACUGAUAAAUAUGGUUUCCUUGCAAGAGAAAGAGGCAAGGGACAAGACAACCUUGGAUUUUACACUGUAAUUUAACUCUGACUGCUCACUCCACCUACUUAAUUCAAUGGACCCUUCUCCCUCCACCUCUCUAUACCAUCACUUUUCUCACUCAGGAAACUCUACUCCUUCUCAUGUAAGAAAGAUGUUCCUGAAUUAUAUAUCUUCUUGAACAUCCUAAUAUACCAAGCUUUACCCUGAUGUUAAUGAAAGCUUUUUCUGGCUGAGGAGUCAGUUGAGGAUUCAGCUGACUCCAAUUAAAGAGGUAGAAAUAUGGUGAUUAGGGUUCCAAUUGUAGUUCUAAAUCAUAACCAACAAGACUUUGGCUGGUUUCCUACUUUCUACAGAGCAAACAAGCCUGAAAUGCAACAUAUAUUCUUUUUCAAAUUUAUUCUAGAGUAAAACCAGUAAAGCUGUACAUAAGGGAAAUAUAUUCUUUAUAUGAACUUCUCUUUGCUCUCCAUGUUGUUAAAACUUAAUUCUGACACUGAGAACCUUUUGAUACCUUCUUGGGUAGAUUCUUAUCCAAAGGACCUUCACAUAAGAUGGAAAUGUUUCUGGCAGAGUAAACAUGAAGUGGAUGACGCCAUGUCAUCACCCACAGAUGUUAUCCUCUGAUCCCUAAGUUUCUCCCUUGUUAAAAAAGGGGAGAAGAGAUUUUCAUUCAUGUUUUUCUCACUAGAAAAAAAUGACUAGAAAAAGUCUAG